rnacentral:rRNA from 1 species
AUGCCCGAGAAAGAGAAGGCCCCUGCCACCACAACUCUCAACGGCGGAGGAGAAGAGGAGGAGAUGAGAGAGGGAGGAGGGGCCAUGUACCCGCCGCCUUGUCACCAGAGAAGCAAAAGGCUUGCGGCCACCGCCACACCACCCGAGGAGGGGGGCUGCGAUCUACUAGAUUACAUACCAAAAAGUGGUUGGAGGCAUGGAGGUCGUCUGAGAAGUGCACGGGAGAGAGGAACAUGGUCGAUAAACAUAGAACCAUGCUCCCGGGACUUGCGUUCUGCAAGUGAAGGCCAAAAACAUGGGAGCACAAGAAACAAUGACCAUUGGACAUCUGAAGAGGUGAAAGAACUAGUGGAUGGCGUAUCUGUAUAUGGGGUUGGACCAUGGACUAAGUUGAAGAAUGAAAGGUUUCCAAUAUCAGUUCGAACAGCGGUGCAUCUUAAGGAUAAGUGGAGAAACCUAGUGAAAGCCUUCACGGGAAAUGUGAAAAGAAGGAUCACGCCUCGUCUAGAUAAGGAUUGCGUCGAAAAGAUUAAGAGGCUAGCAGCUGAUUACCCUCGAAAAUGA